CCUACGGGUGGCUGCAGUGGGGAAUAUUGGACAAUGGGCGAAAGCCUGAUCCAGCCAUGCCGCGUGUGUGAAGAAGGCCUUCGGGUUGUAAAGCACUUUCAGUGGGGAAGAAAGCCUUGGGGCUAAUAUCCUCGAGGAAGGACAUCACCCACAGAAGAAGCACCGGCUAACUCCGUGCCAGCAGCCGCGGUAAUACGGAGGGUGCGAGCGUUAAUCGGAAUUACUGGGCGUAAAGCGCGCGUAGGCGGUCUGAUAAGCCGGUUGUGAAAGCCCCGGGCUCAACCUGGGAACGGCAUCCGGAACUGUCAGGCUAGAGUGCAGGAGAGGAAGGUAGAAUUCCCGGUGUAGCGGUGAAAUGCGUAGAGAUCGGGAGGAAUACCAGUGGCGAAGGCGGCCUUCUGGACUGACACUGACGCUGAGGUGCGAAAGCGUGGGUAGCAAACAGGAUUAGAUACCCUUGUAGUC
rnacentral:rRNA from 1 species